rnacentral:rRNA from 1 species
AAGGAAUAUUGGUCAAUGCCCGGAAGGGUGAACCAGCCAUGCCGCGUGAAGGAUGACUGCCCUCUGGGUUGUAAACUUCUUUUGGAUGGGACGAAAAAACGGGAUUUAUCCUGGACUGACGGUACCAUCAGAAUAAGCACCGGCUAACUCCGUGCCAGCAGCCGCGGUAAUACGGAGGGUGCAAGCGUUAUCCGGAAUCACUGGGUUUAAAGGGUGCGUAGGCGGUUUUAUAAGUCAGGGGUGAAAGCAUGCAGCUUAACUGUAUAAUUGCCUUUGAUACUGUAGGACUUGAAUAAGGUUGAGGUUGGCGGAAUGUGACAUGUAGCGGUGAAAUGCUUAGAUAUGUCAUAGAACACCGAUUGCGAAGGCAGCUGACUGGGCCUUUAUUGACGCUGAGGCACGAAAGCGUGGGGAGCGAAC